rnacentral:rRNA from 1 species
AUGGCAGACCUAUUCAGGAGGUGGAAGAAUGAGAUGAAAACGUUUGUCGACAAAGAAGAGACACCAGAAUUCAUCGGCAAAUAUGAGAAUAUCAGAGAUCACUGGCCUGCAUUUGUGGCCCACAAGACAUUGGAAAAGAGUAAGAAGUUGUCAGCGACAAACAAGAAAAAUGCUGCGAAGAAGAAGCUUCACCAUCGCACGGGGUCAGGUGGCUACCUCAAAGCCCGGCCUAAGUGGGCCAAGGCUGAGAAUGAUCUGCUUGAUAAAGGGAUCGAACCAGAGACAAUGAACUGGCCAGACCGUUGCCGGACUUGGUUCUUCGGGUCUGGCGGAACCUUGGACCCUGUACCAGGGAAGUGCAUUUGGACGGACGAGCAAAUGAGAAUACCAGUCAAGAGGCUUCAGCACUAUAUCGAUGCAGCGCAGCAAGGGACGUUCGUUCCAGACAGAGAGAACGACGAGCUCAGAAUGGCCCUCGGGAAUCCUGAGCACCCUGGACGGACACGAGGCACGCCAGGCUCCGUUCCGUGGAAGGCUGGUUUUCCGGACGAAGGCGGUUACAAAUGCCAGGAGAGGAGGAAAAAAGUGGAGCAGACCCAAAUUCAGAAGCUGCACGAAAGGGUUCAAGCGCUAGAGGAACGAGACGUAGCUCGCAGCAAGCGACCUGCUGAAACUACCCCCGAAGCUACCCCGCCAUCUCGGCGGAGAAGCAGCGUGGCUUCCAUCGAGCUGCUUCAGCCGGAGCAUGUCUUGACGGCUCCUGCUAGCUACCCCGUGGAUGCUAUCACGGAGUCUCAACAUUGCCACAUUAUGACGCAAUGGCAGAACUUCAAAGUCAAGGCGGCUGUCGGCUCUGUUCGACCUCCUGAACCCGGCGCAACUUUUCGCUGUCGUCCGAUUCCAGAAGGAUAUGCUAGGGUGACGAUGGACGAAAUAACGGAGGGAUUUGAGGACCUCCCGCUUGACCACCCUACCGGUGAAGGGGCGACUCGGCUGGGUUCUGCUCUGAAAACUCCAUGCCUAUGGCGGAAGGAGCUCAUCAACCUUCCGAACUGGACGCCUCCGCCUCCUCCUCCUCCUCCAGCGAGUAAGGGCACUCCGCCUCCUCCUCUGCCUCCUCCUCCGGCGCGUGAUCAGGGCACUCAGCCUCCUUCUCCGGCGCCUGGUGGCACUCCACCUCCUCCUCCGGCGAGUGAUCAGGGCACUCAGCCUCCUUCUCCGGCGCGUGGCGGCACUCCGCCUCCUUCUUCGCCUACGCCGGCGCGCCCGAGCAGCCAGCCUCCUUCCUUCUCUUCCGCCUCGUAA